rnacentral:pre_miRNA from 1 species
UGAAUGCUUCAAGUCUGGCCAAUACUUGCUCGCUCAAAUCAUCUUUCUUGCCUCUUAGGGUUUGAUCAUCCAUUUGUGAACCAGUACAGUCCGGCAAAGAUCGGCCAUUCGCCUGAGGCCACAA